GGGUUGUGAGGUUAAGCGACUAAGCGUACACGGUGGAUGCCCUGGCAGUCAGAGGCGAUGAAGGACGUGCUAAUCUGCGAAAAGCGCCGGCGAGGUGAUAUGAACCCUUGACCCGGCGAUGUCCGAAUGGGGAAACCCAGUGUGUUCCGACACACUAUCGUUAACUGAAUACAUAGGUUAACGAGGCGAACCGGGGGAACUGAAACAUCUAAGUACCCCGAGGAAAAGAAAUCAACCGAGAUUCCCCCAGUAGCGGCGAGCGAACGGGGAGCAGCCCGGAGUCUGAAUCAGCUUGUGUGUUAGUGGAACGGUCUGGAAAGUCCGACGGUACAGGGUGAUAGUCCCGUACACGAAAAUGCACAGGUUGUGAACUCGAAGAGUAGGGCGGGACACGUGGUAUCCUGUCUGAAUAUGGGGACCAUCCUCCAAGGCUAAAUACUCCUGACUGACCGAUAGUGAACCAGUACCGUGAGGAAAGGCGAAAAGAACCCCGGCGAGGGGAGUGAAAAGAACCUGAAACCGUGUACGUACAAGCAGUGGGAGCCUCUUUAUGGGGUGACUGCGUACCUUUGUAUAAUGGGUCAGCGACUUAUAUUCUGUAGCAAGGUUAACCGUAUAGGGGAGCCGAAGGGAAACCGAGUCUUAACUGGGCGUUAAGUUGCAGGGUAUAGACCCGAAACCCGGUGAUCUAGCCAUGGGCAGGUUGAAGGUUGGGUAACACUAACUGGAGGACCGAACCGACUAAUGUUGAAAAAUUAGCGGAUGACCUGUGGCUGGGGUGAAAGGCCAAUCAAACCGGGAGAUAGCUGGUUCUCCCGAAAGCUAUUUAGGUAGCGCCUCGUGAACUCAUCUUCGGGGUAGAGCACUGUUUCGGCUAGGGGCCAUCCCGGCUUACCAACCCGAUGCAAACUACGAAUACCGAAGAAUGUUAUCACGGGAGACACACGGCGGGUGCUAACGUCCGUCGUGAAGAGGGAAACAACCCAGACCGCCAGCUAAGGUCCCAAAGUCAUGGUUAAGUGGGAAACGAUGUGGGAAGGCACAGACAGCCGGGAUGUUGGCUUAGAAGCAGCCAUCAUUUAAAGAAAGCGUAAUAGCUCACUGGUCGAGUCGGCCUGCGCGGAAGAUGUAACGGGGCUAAACCAUGCACCGAAGCUGCGGCAGCGACGCUUAUGCGUUGUUGGGUAGGGGAGCGUUCUGUAAGCCGUUGAAGGUGUGCUGUGAGGCAUGCUGGAGGUAUCAGAAGUGCGAAUGCUGACAUAAGUAACGAUAAAGCGGGUGAAAAGCCCGCUCGCCGGAAGACCAAGGGUUCCUGUCCAACGUUAAUCGGGGCAGGGUGAGUCGACCCUAAGGCGAGGCCGAAAGGCGUAGUCGAUGGGAAACAGGUUAAUAUUCCUGUACUUGGUGUUACUGCGAAGGGGGACGGAGAAGGCUAUGUCAGCCGGGCGACGGUUGUCCCGGUUUAAGCAUGUAGGCGGAGGUUCCGGUAAAUCCGGUACCUUAUUAACGCUGAGGUGUGAUGACGAGGCACUACGGUGCUGAAGUGAUAAAUGCCCUGCUUCGUGAAAAGCCUCUAAGCAUCAGGUAACACGAAAUCGUACCCCAAACCGACACAGGUGGUCAGGUAGAGAAUACCAAGGCGCUUGAGAGAACUCGGGUGAAGGAACUAGGCAAAAUGGUGCCGUAACUUCGGGAGAAGGCACGCUGAUAGGUAGGUGAAGCCCCUGCGGGCGGAGCUGAAAUCAGUCGAAGAUACCAGCUGGCUGCAACUGUUUAUUAAAAACACAGCACUGUGCAAACACGAAAGUGGACGUAUACGGUGUGACGCCUGCCCGGUGCCGGAAGGUUAAUUGAUGGGGUUAGCGGCAACGCGAAGCUCUUGAUCGAAGCCCCGGUAAACGGCGGCCGUAACUAUAACGGUCCUAAGGUAGCGAAAUUCCUUGUCGGGUAAGUUCCGACCUGCACGAAUGGCGUAAUGAUGGCGGGCUGUCUCCACCCGAGACUCAGUGAAAUUGAACUCGCUGUGAAGAUGCAGUGUACCCGCGGCAAGACGGAAAGACCCCGUGAACCUUUACUAUAGCUUGACACUGAACACUGGUCCUUGAUGUGUAGGAUAGGUGGGAGGCUUUGAAGCGUGGACGCCAGUCUGCGUGGAGCCAUCCUUGAAAUACCACCCUUUAAUGGCUGGUGUUCUAACGUAGACCCGUGAUCCGGGUUGCGGACAGUGUCUGGUGGGUAGUUUGACUGGGGCGGUCUCCUCCCAAAGAGUAACGGAGGAGCACGAAGGUUGGCUAAUCUGGUCGGACAUCAGGAGGUUAGUGCAAUGGCAUAAGCCAGCUUGACUGCGAGCGUGACGGCGCGAGCAGGUGCGAAAGCAGGUCAUAGUGAUCCGGUGGUUCUGAAUGGAAGGGCCAUCGCUCAACGGAUAAAAGGUACUCCGGGGAUAACAGGCUGAUACCGCCCAAGAGUUCAUAUCGACGGCGGUGUUUGGCACCUCGAUGUCGGCUCAUCACAUCACGGGGCUGAAGUAGGUCCCAAGGGUAUGGCUGUUCGCCAUUUAAAGUGGUACGCGAGCUGGGUUUAGAACGUCGUGAGACAGUUCGGUCCCUAUCUGCCGUGGGCGCUGGAGAAUUGAGGGGCUGCUCCUAGUACGAGAGGACCGGAGUGGACGCAUCACUGGUGUUCGGGUUGUCAUGCCAAUGGCACUGCCCGGUAGCUAAAUGCGGAAGAGAUAAGUGCUGAAAGCAUCUAAGCACGAAACUUGCCCCGAGAUGAGUUCUCCCUGAGACCUUGAGUCUCCUGAAGGAACGUUGAAGACGACGACGUUGAUAGGUCGGGUGUGUAAGCGCAGCGAUGCGUUGAGCUAACCGAUACUAAUGAACCGUGAGGCUUAACCUUACAACGCCGAAGGUGUUU
rnacentral:rRNA from 1 species